rnacentral:ncRNA from 1 species
GUAGGGGAAUCUCGCAUUUCACUGGGCCAGCAUCAGUUUUGGUGGCAGGAUAAAUCCAUAGGAAUGUAGCUUGCCUCGGUAAGUAUUAUAGCCUGUGGGAAUACUGCCAGCUGGGACUGAGGACUGCGACGUAAGUCAAGGAUGCUGGCAUAAUGGUUAUAUGCCGCCCGUCUUGAAACACGGACCAAGGAGUCUAACGUCUAUGCGAGUGUUUGGGUGUAAAACCCAUACGCGUAAUGAAAGUGAACGUAGGUUGGGGCCUCGCAAGAGGUGCACAAUCGACCGAUCCUGAUGUCUUCGGAUGGAUUUGAGUAAGAGC